AGUAACACGUUGGAACCUACCCCCGAAGUGAGGAAUAACUGCCCGAAAGGGUAGCUAAUACCUCAUAGUCUCCGAUUUAUUCGGAGUAAAGAUUUAUCGCUUCGGGAGAGGCCUGCGUCCGAUUAGCUAGUUGGUGAGGUAAAUGCUCACCAAGGCGACGAUCGGUAGCUGGUUUUGAGAGGAUGACCAGUCACACUGGGACUGAGAUACGGCCCAGACUCCUACGGGAGGCAGCAGUAAGGAAUCUUCCACAAUGGGGGCAACCCUGAUGGAGCAAUACCGCGUGCAGGAUGAAGCGUUUCGGCGUGUAAACUGCUUUUAUCUGUGAUGAUUAUGACAGUAGCAGAAGAAUAAGGAUCGGCUAACUACGUG
rnacentral:rRNA from 1 species